UACGUAGGGACCAAGCGUUGUUCGGAUUUACUGGGCGUAAAGGGCGCGUAGGCGGCGUGGUAAGUCAGUUGUGAAAUCUCCGAGCUUAACUCGGAACGGCCAACUGAUACUGCUGUGCUAGAGUGCAGAAGGGGCAAUCAGAAUUCUUGGUGUAGCGGCGAAAUGCGUAGAUAUCAAGAGGAAUACCAGAGGUGAAGACGGGUUGCUAGGCUGACACUGACGCUGAGGCGCGAAAGCCAGGGGAGCAAACGGG
rnacentral:rRNA from 1 species